rnacentral:rRNA from 1 species
GCACCACAACAGCGUGGAGUAUGUGGCUUAAUUUGACUCAACGCGGAAAAGCUUAUCUGGUCCGGACGCAGUGAGGAUUGACAGACAGUUAGACAAAAGUGGUUUUUGGUAACAAAUUGAGAGAGGUGAAGUUCUUUCAUGAUCUUGUGAGAGGUGGUGCAUGGCCGUUCUUAGUUCGUGUAGUGAUAUGUCUGCCUAAUCGCGUCACGAUAACCUAUUGGUCGACAACCCAAUUAUCACAACUGCAGCAUAACUCCCCUUGGGUGGGCGAGGCUCUGUGUAGGAUAGACCUCUGAACAGUACGCAACGAACGUGAUCGUAAACCCUUGUUGAGUGGCCAUCCUGUAAGCUGCUGGAUUAGGAACCCAGUGGUAUUAUCUCAGCCACAGAUUUUCUGGUUGUAAUGGGCCAGUUUUGAAACUCGGGGCACAUCUGUGACUUUCUUUCUUAACGCAGAGGAAGGUUAUGGCAAUAACAGGUCUGUGAUG